UACGUAGGGGGCUAGCGUUGUCCGGAAUCAUUGGGCGUAAAGAGCGUGUAGGCGGUCCGGUAAGUCCGCUGUGAAAGUCGGGGGCUCAACCCUCGGAUGCCGGUGGAUACUGUCGGGCUCGAGUACGGAAGAGGCGAGUGGAAUUCCUGGUGUAGCGGUGAAAUGCGCAGAUAUCAGGAGGAACACCGAUUGCGAAGGCAGCUCGCUGGGACGUGACUGACGCUGAGACGCGAAAGCGUGGGGAGCAAACAGG
rnacentral:rRNA from 1 species